GGGCACGGAUUGGAAGGUAAAUUUGAAUAUCGACUGGGAUACGGAAAACCACUACCCCCCGAGAUUAGGAUAACCGGUUUUUCUGUAAAUGCGGGCUGGCUUUUUUGAUCGUGUCCAUACGAGCAUAAAAAGUGAGAUUUAAAAUAUGGAAAAAGCUUGUAGAUAUUUAAGUGACAAUGUCUUCGGACGCGGGUUCGAUUCCCGCCGCUUCCACCA
rnacentral:tmRNA from 1 species